UACGUAGGGUCCGAGCGUUUGUCCGGAAUUAUUGGGCGUUAAAGGAGCUACGUAGGCGGUUUGUCGCGUCUGCUGUGAAAUCCCGAGGCUCAACCUCGGGCCUGCAGUGGGUACGGGGCAGACUGGAGUGCGGUAGGGGGAGAAUGGAAUUCCUGGUGUAGCGGUGGAAUGCGCAGAUAUCAGGAGGAACACCGAUGGCGAAGGCAGUUCUCUGGGCCGUAACUGACGCUGAGGAGCGAAAGCGUGGGGAGCGAACAGG
rnacentral:rRNA from 1 species